AUGGCGACAUAGAGCGGAACCCGAAAACCUAGUCUCAGUUCGGAUUGGAGUCUGCAACCCGACUCCAUGAAGCUGGAUUCGCUAGUAAUCGCGCAUCAGCCACGGCGCGGUGAAUACGUUCCCGGGCCUUGUACACACCGCCCGUCAAGCCAUGGGAGCCGGGGGGUACCUGAAGUGCGUGACCGCAAGGAGCGCCCUAAGGUAAAACCGGUGACUGGGGCUAAGUCGUAACAAGGUAUC
rnacentral:rRNA from 1 species